UGUUAUCAUAUCCACAUGUUAUACUAUCAACAUAUUAUCCUAUCCACAUAUUAUACUAUCCACACGCUAUCAUCCACACACUAUAAAACCACAAGCUAUACUAUCCACACACUCAUUAGAACGACAUGUGUACUAUUCAUUACAAAUGCUACUUUUCUGACUCUUUUUUGGUUUCUUCUCCUGCAAGAGACCAAUGCUGUGCGCACCUCACCAAAUCCUCCCAUUUCUCCCCUUAAUGAAUCUGGGUGUGAUUCCCCCAUUCAGCGCAAUGAAUCAGAUAGAGAUGAUACCCAGGAUACUGCUCGUACACCCCCAGCCUAUGUUGAUCUAAGUGAUUCUUCCCCGGCCAAACCAAUGGAAAGUCGUGUUCUGUGUAUUGGAGUAGCGAAAUUUUUUGCUGUGAUAAUAUCGAUGCCACAAACGUCACCGUCAACUCAGCCUGGCCUAUUACCAAGUGUUGAGAAAGAUUUUGUCGCCCUAUUCAAAAAAACACUCAAGUCGGCCCCUAACACGAAGCACUUAAUCAAAUGUGGUUACCCACUUGACAAUAAUUUCCUACUACAACUUGUGAAGCCUAGCAACUGGGUUAGCACUUUGCACAUGGAAGUUUUAGUCUAGUUGUUGCAAAAAACCCGCACAUGGAAGUUUUAGUCUAGUUGUUGCAAAAAACCCAUUCAGAAGUCUUUUCCAUAGAGCGCUCAAUCAUCCUUUCCCCAUGGCUUGACAACUACUUACAAGGCAAUUAUAAAUCUUUCAGCCAAGCUAAAAAUAAGUCUAGCGUAAAGUGGGACUCCCAGCUUAGGUGAUCCAUUAGUGGGGCUCCAUCUGAGUGGUUUGACCUUUGGAACAUGCUCUACAUUCCAAUGAUUUGGGGUGACUCUCACUUGGUCGGAUUGGUCAUCAACCUUCCUAAUUGGAGUAUAGAGAUCCUUGACCCUAAUACACCUUUGAAACAGCGACGAAAAUGUUGCUAAACACAUAGCUCCAUUCGUAGAAAUGCUUCCGCACCUCAUUCAUCGACUCUGUGACCCACCCGCUACUCAGAGUCAUGGAUUCACCCCUUUCACUUGGUCCAGGGUUAAAGAUGUUUACAUCAAAGAGAGAUCCGAUGACUGUGGCCUUGUUGUGAUGAAGUUCCUGGAAAUUCACGCCACAGGAUCUGGCCCAGAAAUGAUGGGACUGAUCACCGACCCCAGUGGAUCAAUUCAGGGCACAAUAUGCGUUCGACAUAAUCAACCACUUUGUUGCACCAUCUACGCCUAGAUGUAUAAUCUUUAUCUGUUUAUUUGUAAAACAUAUAUGUUUGUAUUCUACACUCUGUUCGGAUUACUCUGGACCUGUUAUAUCAAAUCAAGGAAGACUAUGUACAAUGAUUUUGGUAUUACAACAUCCACUUUUUCUUU